UACGAAGGGUGCAAGCGUUAAUCGGAAUUACUGGGCGUAAAGCGCGCGUAGGUGGUUCGUUAAGUUAGGAGUGAAAGCCCCGGGCUCAACCUGGGAAUUGCUUCUAAAACUGGCGAGCUAGAGUAUGGUAGAGGGUGGUGGAAUUUCCUGUGUAGCGGUGAAAUGCGUAGAUAUAGGAAGGAACAUCAGUGGCGAAGGCGACCACCUGGAUUGAUACUGACACUGAGGUGCGAAAGCGUGGGGAGCAAACAGGAUUAGAUACCCGCGUAGUCCCUGA
rnacentral:rRNA from 1 species